rnacentral:lncRNA from 1 species
CAAAGUAAUUUAGUCUCUCUACUUAGCAGAUGAGCUGCCGUCAUUAACUCAGUCCACAGGAUGUGCUGUUAUUGGUCCUAAGUUUUCUAACAGCUUCAAUCAUGCUAAAUCAUCCUGUAAAACUACCAGGUCAGGCUUAUCUCAGCAUUCCCAACCCAGGAAGAGAAGCAGCAGAGUGAAUCAGAAAGUGAAACUCAGCACUGGGGCUGCGAUGGUGAUCAUCGGUAAUGACCUCAGAGAUUAUGAAUGUCGUGUGGAAAAUGCCUCAGAAACAUCUGGCAGCACGAGAAGCCUGGGCAUCUUACUGCAAGCCCCUGGGACAGCAGCAACCAAAGGGAAGCUAAGCAGAAACCAGAAAGUCAUCACUCUGACAUGCUUUAGUCUUCAGAGCCCCAUGCAUGUAAAUCUGCUGUAUCUGGAGAAGGAACAUGGAGAUUUGAGAGACCAGGCAGAAGAGAAAUGCACCCUGCAGAGCCUGAAAGUCAUCACCAGUGCAGACAGGGGAGCUGCUACUGGCCACAGCUGUGUUUUAYUAAUGGACAACAGCAAAAAGUUUCAGGCCAAAUUUAUUCUUACAGGAAAAGUGUUUCUGGUAGGGAUAUCAAAUUGUGUUAUGACAGCAAAGCUACCCAAGCUGAAAGUUUUUGCAGAGGGUCUGACUGUCCUGCACGUGCGCCAAGAUAAUCAGACUUCAGAGGGUAGGUACCAAUUCUCCCUGCAGAGCUACAAAAGUAGCAUUAACAGCAUACACAAUGAAGGAUAA